GUUGGUGUGGUGUAGUGGUUUGAGUGUUGGACUAUGAUCCUGGAGGUCAGUGUUCAAUUCCCUGCUUGGUCA